rnacentral:rRNA from 1 species
UACGUAGGGUGCAGGCGUUGUCCGGAUUUAUUGGGCGUAAAAAGCGUGUAGGCGGUCAGGUAGGUCGGUUGUGAAAACUGGAGGCUCAACCUUCAGAGGUCGACCGAAACCCCCUGGCUAGAGUCCGGGAGAGGAGAGUGGAAUUCCUGGUGUAGCGGUGAAAUGCGCAGAUAUCAGGAAGAACACCCGUGGCGAAAGCGGCUCUCUGGAACGGUACUGACGCUGAGACGCGAAAGCGUGGGGAGCGAACAGG